rnacentral:rRNA from 1 species
CCCAACCGUAAACCUUUAUCUACAACCAUAUCGCCCGGGAACUACGAGCAAAGCUUAAAACCCAAGGGACUUGACGGUACCCCACAUCCACCUAGAGGAGCCUGUCCUACAAUCGAUACCCCACGCUGAACCUCACCAUUUCUAGUUUUUUCAGCCUGUAUACCUCCGUCGUCAGUCCAUCGCAUGAGCGACCCCAAUGAACUCUAUAGUCUAACACAAAUACGUCAGGUCAAGGUGCAGCAAAUGGAAUGGGAAGAGAUGGGCUACACUCUCUAAUAUAGAAGAUACGAAAGACUUCAUGAAACCAAGUCAGAAGGCGGAUUUAGAAGUAAGGAGAAAUCAGAAUAUUCCCCUUAACACGGCCCUGGGGUGUGUACACACCGCCCGUCACCCUCUUCAAUAAAUAUACCUUAGUAUCUAACAAUCUACACAUCAACAGAAGAGGUAAGUCGUAACAUGGUAAGUAUACCGGAAGGUGUGCUUGGACA